CAAUAAAAUUUGAUCCUCACUGAAAAUCCAACUCUCUUUACAUACAAACUGAAUUUUGCGAACUGAAUUUGAGAGUUGGAUUUUCAGUGAGGAUCAAAUUUUAUUG